UUAGUGCUGCAGCUAACGCAUUAAGCACUCCGCCUGGGGAGUACGGUCGCAAGACUGAAACUCAAAGGAAUUGACGGGGGCCCGCACAAGCGGUGGAGCAUGUGGUUUAAUUCGAAGCAACGCGAAGAACCUUACCAGGUCUUGACAUCCUCUGACAACCCUAGAGAUAGGGCUUUCCCUUCGGGGACAGAGUGACAGGUGGUGCAUGGUUGUCGUCAGCUCGUGUCGUGAGAUGUUGGGUUAAGUCCCGCAACGAGCGCAACCCUUGAUCUUAGUUGCCAGCAUUUAGUUGGGCACUCUAAGGUGACUGCCGGUGACAAACCGGAGGAAGGUGGGGAUGACGUCAAAUCAUCAUGCCCCUUAUGACCUGGGCUACACACGUGCUACAAUGGACAGAACAAAGGGCUGCGAGACCGCAAGGUUUAGCCAAUCCCAUAAAUCUGUUCUCAGUUCGGAUCGCAGUCUGCAACUCGACUGCGUGAAGCUGGAAUCGCUAGUAAUCGCGGAUCAGCAUGC
rnacentral:rRNA from 1 species